ensembl:lncRNA
UGGGGAUGGGAUUUAGCGUACCAGCGAUGUAAGGGGUUAGCCUUACAUCACAGAGUGUGAAGAGAUGGCGAAUGAGAUAGUAUUGGUGGAUGUGUAGGGUGGUGGAGUAUGGGGAUGUGAUCACCUGUUGCUUUUACUGUCUUGGUGAAAAAAAAAAUGAUCCAUUGAGCAUGAGAAGGGGACAGGGGAGUUGGGUCCAACUUUCUAGUGUGUUUAAGCGCAUAGCUGGGUCACGUUUACUGAGGGAAUUUCUGAGAUCUGGACAGGAUCUCAUAAACCAUAAUCUUUCAAUUUGGUUUCCAGUUCUUGCUCUCUCAUAGGUGGGUGUUUCCUUCCAUCUCUUUCCCCCAAGGAGACCUGUCCUACAUUUAUAGUAACCAUUUCCAUUUCUGUACUUAAAAAAAUAGUUUUAUUUCCUGGAUUUUAUCCCUAGACACCAUAGUUUAGGUUUUUUUUUUUUUUCUUCUCAUUUACCAUUUUUUUUUUUCUUUUUACAGCCACACGUGUAGCUUAUGGAAGUUCCCAGGCCAGGGGUUGAGUUGGAGCUGCAUCUGUGUCUUACACCACAGCUUGAGGCAAUGCUGGAUCCUUAACCUGCUGAGUGAGGCUAGGGAUUGAAUCGCAUUCUCAUGGACACUAUGUCAGGUUCUUAAACCGCUAAGCCUCAAUGGGAACUCCUCAUUACAGUUUUUGAUAUUCUCUCUAAAUCUUCAGAUCCUUCCCAAAUCCUUUCUUACAGUUUUUAUGUUGAGGAACUUGGGUGUUUAACCUGUAGUGAUCCCCUCAGUUUAUAUUUUUCUGAUUGCCUACUCUUCAAGAAAUUGGCAUAUUCCUGUGUCCUCUGUAUUUUCAGUAAAUUGACUGCUGGAUUCAGAGGCGUUUCCAGACCCAUAUUUGAUUCCUUUGGCUAGCUGUGCUGUAGUUGGUGAGGGGUGUGUGUGUAGUAUCAGGAUGCCCAUAAUGUCUGCUUGUCUCUCUUUUGGAGAUGAAAAGCAGCUACUGAUGCCCAAUAGCUAGAUUCAUUAAUACAAUGGGGGUUAUAUAUUGGUGAUACUGUAUAAUUAUAUGGCUUUUUCAUUGUUUAGUUGUAUGUAUACAACUUAAUACGUUUGGUGGCAGGUACACACCUGUGAAACCAUCACCAUUCAUCACAUAUGAAAAUUUCCUCUCACCUCCUUUAUUGUUGUUGUUGUUGUUAUUAUUGUUUUUAUUACUUGUGGUAAGAAUACUUAGCAUAGGACCUAGGCUCAGAAAAUUUUAAGUGUACAGUUCAGUCUUGUUAGCUGUAGGUCCUAUGUAUAGCACAACUUCAAAACUUAUCUAUUUUGCCUAAAUGAAACUUUGUACUCUCUGACCAACAACUCCCCAUUUCCCCCACCUGUCAGCCCCAGGUAACCGCUGUUCUACUCUCUGUUACUGUGAAUUUGACUUUUUUUUUUUUCUUUUUUUUUGCUUUUUGGCUUUUUGCCAUUUCUUGGGCUGCUCUAGUGGCAUAUGGAGGUUCCCAGGCCAGGGGUCGAAUCGGAGCUAUAACCACCGGCCUACACCAGAGCCACAGCAAUGCGGGAUCCGAGCUGUGUCUGCAGCCUACACCACAGCUCACGGCAACACCUGAUCCCCAACCCACUGAGCAAGGCCAGGGAAUCGAACCCGCAACCUCAUGGUUCCUAGUCGGAUUCGUUAACCACUGAGCCACGACGGGAACUCCACGUUUGACUUUUUUGGAUUCCCCAUAUAAGUGAGAUCACACGUAUUUGUUUUCUGUGUCUGACAUUUCAUUUAGCAUAUAUCCUUGAGGUCCAUCCAUGUCAAGAUGUCAUGAUUUCCUUCUUUUUAAAGGCUAAAUUCAUUUUACAUAUAUAUCACAUUGUCUUCUUAUGUGUGUGUGUGUGUUUCACUUUUAUUGAGGAAGGACUAGUAAAAACUGUAUACAUUUAUGGCAUACAGUGUGAUGUUUUGACAGUAUAUAUUGAAUUCACCACCACCAUGAGAUAGUUAACAUAUCCAACGCUUCACAUGGUUAUCAUCUUUUUUUGUGUGGUAAUAUCCCUUGAGAUCUACUCUCUCAGUAACUUUCAAGUAUAUAGUACAUAUUAUUAAUUAUUAACUGUAGUCACCAUGCUGUGCAUUAAGUCUCUAGAACUUGUUCAUUUUAUAACUGAAAGUUUAUACCCUUUGACCAACAUCUUUCCAUCCCCCCACACCCAUCCUCUGGCGACAAUCAUUAUACUAUCUACUUCUUUGAGUUUUACUUUUUUACAUCCCACGUAUAAAUGAGAUCAUACAGUACUGUUCUUUCCGUGUCUUGCUUACUUGACUUAGCAUAAUGUCCUUCAGGUUUGUCCGUAUCAUUGCAAAUGGAAUCAUUUCCAUUUUUUUAAGGCUGAGUUUUAUAUAUAUAUGUAUAUAUGCACAUAUGUAUAUAUAUGUGUGUAUAUGCACAUAUGUAUAUAUGUGUGUAUAUGCACAUAUGUAUAUAUAUGUGUAUAUGCACACAUGUAUAUAUGUGUGUCUAUAUGCACAUAUGUAUAUAUGUGUGUCUAUAUGCACAUAUGUAUAUAUGUGUGUAUAUGCACAUACACAUACACAGACAUCUACAUAUGUGCAUGCAUGUGUAUAUCACAACUUCUUUACCCAUUUAUCCAUUGACAGACAAUUAGGUUGUUACCAUAUCUUGGAUGAUGUGAAUGAAUAAUGCCGUAGUGAACAAAAAAACCCACCUUUUGUGUAUUCUUUUUGGAUAUUUGCAUAUCUUCUUUGGAAAAACAUUUAUUUAGGUCCUUUGCCAUCUUUUUUGGUCUUUUGUCUUUUUAGGGCUUCACCCAUGGCAUAUGAAUGUUCCCAGCUAGGGGUCGAAUUGGAGCUACAGCUGCUGGCCUACGCCACAGCCACAGCAAUGCCAGAUCCUAGCCAUGUCUGUGACCUACACAACAGCUUACGGCAACGUUGGAUCCUUAACCCACUGAGCAAGGUCAGGGAUCGGAGCCACGUCCUUAUGGAUCCUAGUCAGGUUUGUUAACGACUGAGCCACAAUGGGAAUUCUGUUUUGCCCAUUUUUAAUUGGUUUAUUAUUAUUUUUGGCUAUUGAGUCAUGUGAGUUCCUUCUAUAUUUUGCAGGAAACUUGCAAACCCUUAUUGGGGAUAGGGUUUGCACAUAUUUUCUAUGAUUCCAUAGAUAAUCUCUUCGCUCUGUUGAUUGUUCCAUUUGUUGUGCAGAAGCUUUUUAGUUUGAUGUAGAUCUACUUGUUUGGUUUUGCCCUUGUUGCUUGUGCUUGGUGCAUAAGAAAUCAUUGCAAAGACCAGUGUCAUGAAGCUCUUCCUCCAUGUGUUCUAGAAAUUUUACAGUUUCAUGUUUAAAUCUUUAAUAUAUUUUGAAUUGAUUUUUCUCUAUAAGUGUACUCUUUUGCAUGUGGCUAUCCAGUUUUCCUAACAAAAUUUGUAGAAGAGACUGUCCUUUCUCCAUUGUGUAGUCUUGGCACUUUUAUUGAAUAUCAGUUCACUCUGUGUGUGGGACCUUACUUCUGGGCUCUCUAUUCUCUUCCAUUGUUAACAUAUCUGUUUUUAUGUCAGUACCAUACUUUUAAAAUUAUGUAUUUGGAAGUUAUGAACUGUGAUGCUGCCAGCUUUGUUUUUUUGCUAUUCAGGGGCUUUUGUGGCGCCAUCUGAAUUUUAGGACUCACUCUUUCUUCUCUCUUUCCUUUCUUUAAAAAAUUUUCUAAAAUCUUUGUGUAAAAUUUUUAAAAAACUGUUUUAGGAUUUUUUUUCUAAUUCUGUAAACAAUGGCAUGGGUUUGAUCCCUGGCUGGGAACCUCCGUAUACCAUGGGAUUGGCCCCCCAAAAAAUGACAUUGAGAUUUUCAUAGGGAUUUUAUUGCUUUAGUACUAUGAGCAUUUUAACAAUUCUUUCAAUUGAUGAACAGGAGAUAUCCUUCCAUUAAUUUAUGUCUUUAAUUUCUUUCAUCAGUAUUUCAUAGUUUUCAGUGUACAAAUCUUUCAUCUCAUUGGUUAAGUUGUAUUCUUAAGUAUUUCAUUCUUUUUUUUUUUUUUUUUUGCUUUCCCUUUUUAGGGCCACACCUGUGCCUGUGGAAGUUCCCAGGCUAGGGGUCAAAUCAGAGCUGUAGCUGUCAGCCUACACCACAGCCACAGCAGUGCUGGAUCUGAGCCUCAUCUGUGACCUACAGCACAGGUCACAGCAACAUCGGGUCCUUAACCCAUUGAGCAAGGCCAGGAAUCGGACCUAUCUCAUGGAUACUAGUCGGGUUCAUUACUGCUGAGCCACGACAGGAACUCCAGGUAUUUUAUUCUUUUGCUUCUACUGUAAGUGGAAUUGGUUUCAUAAUUUCUUUUUUGAAUAGUUUGUUGUUAGUAAAUAGAAAUGCAACUGGUUUUCACUUACUGAUUUUGUAUUCUGUAACUUAAUUUUUUUUUUACUGCAAAGUUUUUUGGUGGCAUCUUAGGGUUUCUGCAUAUAAAAUCAUGACAUCUGCUCACAGAGAUAAUUGAAUCUUAAUUGUUUCUAACUUGAACUUGAAAACAUAUUUACUGGUACAGCUAUGUCCAGUAAAAUAUUUUUUUUUUUAAAAAAAGAAACAACUCAAACAAUGGGGGAGGAAGUUCCCUUGUGGUACAGAAAGUUAAGGAUCUGGCAUUGUCACUGCAGGGGCUCAGUUGCUGCUGUGGCCCCUGGCCUGGAAACUUACACAUGCUUCAGGCACAGCCAAAGAGAAAGGGGGGGGGGAGAAUAUUUGCAGACCUAUAUCUGUUUAAAGGCAUAGUGUCCAGAAUAUAUAAAGAACUAGGAACCCAAUAAUAAAAAAAAAAA